GAUGAACGCUGGCGGCGUGCCUAAUACAUGCAAGUCGAGCGAACGGACGAGAAGCUUGCUUCUCUGAUGUUAGCGGCGGACGGGUGAGUAACACGUGGAUAACCUACCUAUAAGACUGGGAUAACUUCGGGAAACCGGAGCUAAUACCGGAUAAUAUUUUGAACCGCAUGGUUCAAAAGUGAAAGACGGUCUUGCUGUCACUUAUAGAUGGAUUCGCGCUGCAUUAGCUAUUUGGUAAGGUAACGGCUUACCAAGGCAACGAUGCAUAGCCGACCUGAGAGGGUGAUCGGCCACACUGGAACUGAGACACGGUCCAGACUCCUACGGGAGGCAGCAGUAGGGAAUCUUCCGCAAUGGGCGAAAGCCUGACGGAGCAACGCCGCGUGAGCGAUGAAGGUCUUCGGAUCGUAAAACUCUGUUAUUAGGGAAGAACAUAUGUGUAAGUAACUGUGCACAUCUUGACGGUACCUAAUCAGAAAGCCACGGCUAACUACGUG
rnacentral:rRNA from 1 species